UACCCGCAGCCCAAGUGGUGGUCGAUUUUAUUGAGUCUAAAACGUUCGUAGCCGGUUUGAUAAAUCCUUGGGUAAAUCGGAGAGCUUAACUUUCCGACUUCCGAGGAGACUGUCGAACUUGGGACCGGGAGAGGCAAGAGGUACUUGAGGGGUAGGGGUAAAAUCCUGUAAUCCUUUAAGGACCACCGGUGGCGAAGGCGUCUUGCUAGAACGGAUCCGACGGUGAGGGACGAAGCCCUGGGUCGCAAACGGGAUUAGAUACCCCGGUAGUCCAGGGUGUAAACGCUGCAGACUUGGUGUUGGGGACCCUUUGGGGGUGCUCAGUGCCGGAGAGAAGUUGUUAAGUCUGCUACUUGGGGAGUACGUCCGCAAGGAUGAAACUUAAAGGAAUUGGCGGGGGAGCACCGCAACGGGAGGAACGUGCGGUUUAAUUGGAUUCAACACCGGAAAACUCACCAGCAGCGACUGUUACAUGAAAGUCAGGCCGAUGACCUUACUAGAUUUUCA
rnacentral:rRNA from 1 species